UACGAAGGGGGCUAGCGUUGCUCGGAAUCACUGGGCGUAAAGCGCACGUAGGCGGCUUUUUUAAGUCAGAGGUGAAAUCCUGGAGCUCAACUCCAGAACUGCCUUUGAUACUGAGAGGCUUGAGUCCGGGAGAGGUGAGUGGAACUGCGAGUGUAGAGGUGAAAUUCGUAGAUAUUCGCAAGAACACCAGUGGCGAAGGCGGCUCACUGGCCCGGUACUGACGCUGAGGUGCGAAAGCGUGGGGAGCAAACAGG
rnacentral:rRNA from 1 species